rnacentral:rRNA from 1 species
UGGUGCGAUCAUACCAGCACUAAUGCACCGGAUCCCAUCAGAACUCCGCAGUUAAGCGUGCUUGGGCGAGAGUAGUACUAGGAUGGGUGACCUCCUAAGAAGUCCGCUUGUAGAACCCC